AUUCCGAAAGUAGCGGCGAGCGAAAUUGGACUAGCCCUUAAGCUUUACACGCGUUAGACGAACGGUCUGGAAAGUCCGACGAUACAGGGUGAUAGUCCCGUAGUUGACGACGUGUGUUCAGUGAAAUCGAGUAGGGCGGGACACGUGAUAUCCUGUCUGAAUAUGGGGGGACCAUCCUCCAAGGCUAAAUACUACUGACUGACCGAUAGUGAACCAGUACCGUGAGGGAAAGGCGAAAAGAACCCCUGUGAGGGGAGUGAAAUAGAACCUGAAACCGUGUACGUACAAGCAGUAGGAGCAGGCUUUGUCCUGUGACUGCGUACCUUUUGUAUAAUGGGUCAGCGACUUAUAUUCAGUGGCAAGGUUAACCAUCUAGGGGAGCCGUAGGGAAACCGAGUCUUAACUGGGCGUUCAGUCUCUGGAUAUAGACCCGAAACCAGGUGAUCUAGCCAUGGGCAGGUUGAAGGUUGAGUAACAUCAACUGGAGGACCGAACCGACUAAUGUUGAAAAAUUAGCGGAUGACUUGUGGCUAGGGGUGAAAGGCCAAUCAAACCUGGAGAUAGCUGGUUCUCCCCGAAAGCUAUUUAGGUAGCGCCUCGGACGAAUACUACUGGGGGUAGAGCACUGUUAAGGCUAGGGGGUCAUCCCGACUUACCAACCCUUUGCAAACUCCGAAUACCAGUAAGUACUAUCCGGGAGACACACGGCGGGUGCUAACGUCCGUCGUGGAGAGGGAAACAACCCAGACCGCCAGCUAAGGUCCCAAAUUACUACUAAGUGGGAAACGAUGUGGGAAGGCUCAGACAGCCAGGAUGUUGGCUUAGAAGCAGCCAUCAUUUAAAGAAAGCGUAAUAGCUCACUGGUCGAGUCGGCCUGCGCGGAAGAUGUAACGGGGCUAAGUAGUAAACCGAAGCUGCGGCAAUGUGCUUUUGCACAUUGGGUAGGGGAGCGUUCUGUAAGCGGUUGAAGGUGUGUGGUAACGCAUGCUGGACGUAUCAGAAGUGCGAAUGCUGACAUGAGUAACGAUAAAGGGGGUGAAAAACCUCCUCGCCGGAAGACCAAGGGUUCCUGUCCAACGUUAAUCGGGGCAGGGUAAGUCGACCCCUAAGGCGAGGCCGAAAGGCGUAGUCGAUGGGAAACGGGUUAAUAUUCCCGUACUUCUUACAAUUGCGAUGGGGGGACGGAGAAGGCUAGGUGGGCCUGGCGACGGUUGUCCAGGUUCAAGUGCGUAGGCUUAAGAGUUAGGUAAAUCCGGCUCUUUUUAAGGCUGAGACACGACGUCGAGCACCUACGGGUGUGAAGUCAUUGAUGCCAUGCUUCCAGGAAAAGCCUCUAAGCUUCAGAUUGUAAGGAAUCGUACCCCAAACCGACACAGGUGGUCGGGUAGAGAAUACCAAGGCGCUUGAGAGAACUCGGGUGAAGGAACUAGGCAAAAUGGUACCGUAACUUCGGGAGAAGGUACGCUCUUGAUGGUGAAGUCCCUCGCGGAUGGAGCUGACGAGAGUCGCAGAUACCAGGUGGCUGCAACUGUUUAUUAAAAACACAGCACUGUGCAAAAUCGUAAGAUGACGUAUACGGUGUGACGCCUGCCCGGUGCCGGAAGGUUAAUUGAUGGGGUUAGACUUCGGUCGAAGCUCUUGAUCGAAGCCCCGGUAAACGGCGGCCGUAACUAUAACGGUCCUAAGGUAGCGAAAUUCCUUGUCGGGUAAGUUCCGACCUGCACGAAUGGCGUAAUGAUGGCCACGCUGUCUCCACCCGAGACUCAGUGAAAUUGAAAUCGCUGUGAAGAUGCAGUGUACCCGCGGCUAGACGGAAAGACCCCGUGAACCUUUACUACAGCUUGGCACUGAACAUUGACCCUACAUGUGUAGGAUAGGUGGGAGGCUUUGAAGCACGUACGCCAGUAUGUGUGGAGCCGUCCUUGAAAUACCACCCUUGUAGUGUUGAUGUUCUAACGUCGACCCCU
rnacentral:rRNA from 1 species